rnacentral:lncRNA from 1 species
ACUUUGUGCAAGUGCAGUUGGAAUUAUCAUCCCAAUUCUCUUGAACAACUUCAAAUCUUUGCAAAAUGAUUAUUCAUUUCUUAAUUUCUUGAUCAAAGCUUUCGCGGCGGGUGUAAUUCUUGCCACCGGAUUCAUUCACAUUCUACCUGAUGCAUUUCAAAGCUUGACAAACCCUUGCCUUUAUAGUGAAAUAUUUGGGAGUUUUCCUUUUGCUGGUUUUGUUUCAAUGAUGUCUGCUAUUUUUACUCUGAUGAUGGAGUCAUUUGCAACUGGUUAUCAUAGAAGAACUGAGCUUGAUUCUUGCCACUGGAUUCAUUCACAUUCUACCUGAUGCAUUUCAAAGCUUGACAAACCCUUGCCUUUAUAGUGAAAUAUUUGGGAGUUUUCCUUUUGCUGGUUUUGUUUCAAUGAUGUCUGCUAUUUUUACUCUGAUGAUGGAGUCAUUUGCAACUGGUUAUCAUAGAAGAACUGAGC